rnacentral:rRNA from 1 species
CCUACGGGAGGCAGCAGUGAGGAAUAUUGGUCAAUGGUCGGGAGACUGAACCAGCCAAGCCGCGUGAGGGAUGAAGGUACAGAGUAUUGUAAACCUCUUUUGUCAGGGAACAAAGGCGGGGACGUGUCCCCGGAUGAGUGUACCUGAAGACAAAGCAUCGGCUAACUCCGUGCCAGCAGCCGCGGUAAUACGGAGGAUGCGAGCGUUAUCCGGAUUUAUUGGGUUUAAAGGGUGCGCAGGCGGUCUGUCAAGUCAGCGGUAAAAUCCCGGGGCUCAACCCCGGCCCGCCGUUGAAACUGGCAGCCUCGAGUUGGCGAGAAGUAGGCGGAAUGCGCGGUGUAGCGGUGAAAUGCAUAGAUCUCGCGCAGAACUCCGAUUGCGAAGGCAGCAUGCCGGCGCCACACUGACGCUGAGGCACGAAAGCGUGGGUAUCGAACAGGAUUAGAUACCCCGGUAGUC